rnacentral:rRNA from 1 species
GGCGACGACGGGUAGCCGGCCUGAGAGGGUGACCGGCCACACUGGGACUGAGACACGGCCCAGACUCCUACGGGAGGCAGCAGUGGGGAAUAUUGCACAAUGGGCGGAAGCCUGAUGCAGCGACGCCGCGUGAGGGAUGACGGCCUUCGGGUUGUAAACCUCUUUCAGCAGGGAAGAAGCCMCAAGUGACGGUACCUGCAGAAGAAGCGCCGGCUAACUACGUGCCAGCAGCCGCGGUAAUACGUAGGGCGCAAGCGUUGUCCGGAAUUAUUGGGCGUAAAGAGCUCGUAGGCGGUUUGUCGCGUCUGCUGUGAAAGCCCGGGGCUCAACCCCGGGUCUGCAGUGGGUACGGGCAGACUAGAGUGCAGUAGGGGAGACUGGAAUUCCUGGUGUAGCGGUGAAAUGCGCAGAUAUCAGGAGGAACACCGAUGGCGAAGGCAGGUCUCUGGGCUGUUACUGACGCUGAGGAGCGAAAGCAUGGGGAGCGAACAGGAUUAGAUACCCUGGUAGUCCAUGCCGUAAACGUUGGGCACUAGGUGUGGGGGACAUUCCACGUUCUCCGCGCCGUAGCUAACGCAUUAAGUGCCCCGCCUGGGGAGUACG